rnacentral:rRNA from 1 species
GUGAUGGACGGUGGAGCAGGCGCGGGUGUAGGGGUGGUUGGAGCGGUAAGCGGAAUUACUGGGCGUAGAGCGUGGUCAGGGCGGUUGUGAAGUCAGGUGGGGAAGCCCCGGGGUCAACCUGGGAAGUGCAUUUGAGACUGCCAGGCGGGAGUGUUGCAGAGGGGGGUGGAAUUCCACGUGGAGCAGUGAAAUGGGGAGAGAUGUGGAGGAACACCGAUGGCGAAGGCAGCCCCCUGGGUCACUACUGACGCUCAUGCACGAAAGCGUGGGGAGCAAACAGGAUUAGAUACCCGGGUAGUC